AUUGAACGCUGGCGGCAGGCCUAACACAUGCAAGUCGAACGAGUGGCGGACGGGUGAGUAAUGUCUGGGAAACUGCCUGAUGGAGGGGGCUAACUACUGGAAACGGUAGCUAAUACCGCAUACCAUCAGAUGUGCCCAGAUGGGUUUAGCUUGUUGGUGGGGUAACGGCUCACAAAGGCGACGAUCCCUAGCUGGUCUGAGAGGAGGACCAGCCACACUGGAACUGAGACACGGUCCAGACUCCUACGGGAGGCAGCAGUAGGGAAGAUUGCACAAUGGGCGAAAGCCUGAGGCAGCAAUGCCGCGUGGAUGAAGAAGGUCUUCGGGUUGUAAAGUACUGUCAGCGGGGAGGCGUUACCCGCAGAAGAAGCACCGGCUAACUCCGUGCCAGCAGCCGCGGUAAUUC
rnacentral:rRNA from 1 species